rnacentral:rRNA from 1 species
UACGAAGGGGGCUAGCGUUGUUCGGAAUUACUGGGCGUAAAGCGCGUGUAGGCGGGUGGGUCAGUCGGGGGUGAAACCCCGGGGCUCAACUCCGGAAUUGCCUCCGAUACUGGCGAUCUUGAGCAUGGGAGAGGCGAGUGGAAUUCCUAGUGUAGAGGUGAAAUUCGUAGAUAUUAGGAAGAACACCAGUGGCGAAGGCGGCUCGCUGGCCCGAUACUGACGCUGAGGUGCGACAGCGUGGGGAGCAAACAGG